rnacentral:rRNA from 1 species
AUUGAACGCUGGCGGCAGGCCUAACACAUGCAAGUCGAGCGGGGUUUUCGGACCUAGCGGCGGACGGGUGAGUAAUGCGUAGGAAGCUGCCCGAUAGAGGGGGAUACCAGUUGGAAACGACUGUUAAUACCGCAUAAUGUCUACGGACCAAAGUGUGGGACCUUCGGGCCACAUGCUAUCGGAUGCGCCUACGUGGGAUUAGCUAGUUGGUGAGGUAAUGGCUCACCAAGGCGACGAUCUCUAGCUGGUUUGAGAGGAUGAUCAGCCACACUGGAACUGAGACACGGUCCAGACUCCUACGGGAGGCAGCAGUGGGGAAUAUUGGACACUGGGCGCAAGCCUGAUCAAGCCAUGCCGAGUGUGUGAAGAAGGCCUUCGGAAAGCACUUUCAGCGAGGAGGAAGGGUGGUGUGUUAAUAGCACAUCAUUUUGACGUUACUCGCAGAAGAAGCACCGGCUAACUCUGUGCCAGCCGCCGCAGUAAUAC